rnacentral:rRNA from 1 species
AGCUUAAUGAGAGAUAUUAAGUAUUUUCUGCCCAAUGGGACAUUUAAAUGGCCGCAGUACCUUGACUGUGCAAAGGUAGCAUAAUCAAUUGGCCUUUAAUUGGGGUCUGGAAUGAAAGAAUAUAUGAAGAGAUACUGUCUAUUAUUAAUAUAUUUAAAUUGCUGAAGAAGUGAAAAUACUUCUAUAACAAUAAAAGACGAGAAGACCCUAGAAAUUUUAUAUAAAGUGUAUUAUAUUUUUACUAUUAUUUUGUUGGGGCAACAGAAUAACAAUUUAACCUAUUUUAGUUUUACACGAAUUUUUUAUAAGGGUAGACAAAAUUACUCUAGGGAUAACAGCAUAAUUAUUUAAUAGUUUGUGACCUCGAUGUUGGACUAAGGAAGGCUUUAUUCAGAAGAUUAAACCACAUGUUCUGUUCGAACAAGUAUCCUUACAUG